UGGGGAAUUUUGCGCAAUGGGCGAAACCCUGAUCUAGCCAUGCCGCGUGAGUGACGAAGGCCCUAGGGUCGUAAAGCUCUUUCGCCAGGGAUGAUAAUGACAGUACCUGGUAAAGAAACCCCGGCUAACUCCGUGCCAGCAGCCGCGGUAAUACGGAGGGGGUUAGCGUUGUUCGGAAUUACUGGGCGUAAAGCGCACGUAGGCGGACUAUUAAGUCAGGGGUGAAAUCCCGGGGCUCAACCCCGGAACUGCCCUUGAUACUGGUAGUCUCGAGUUCUGGAGAGGUGAGUGGAAUUCCGAGUGUAGAGGUGAAAUUCGUAGAUAUUCGGAGGAACACCAGUGGCGAAGGCGGCUCACUGGCCAGAUACUGACGCUGAGGUGCGAAAGCGUGGGGAGCAAACAGGAUUAGAUACCCCCGUAGUCC
rnacentral:rRNA from 1 species